AUGUCACACAUCUUGUACUUGACUCCGCAAAUUCUUCUGCCCUUCAGCCCUCUUACUUCUCAAGAGUUUGAGCUGAUCAAACACAAGGCCGGCGUAUCCUGGCAGAAUGAAACGCGGUGGUCCGAUGCCUGCAUGACGACCUACGAGGGCAGUUACCGGAAAAAACAACUGGAUGAGCUCACGUGCAGCAGACUUUCUUUUAUCGCGGGACUGCACGAGCCUGAGUGUAAACAGACGCCAUUGCUAAAAGACUCUGCCAACGAUCUUCCACCCUGCCAGGCUGGUACCCAGGAGACCACGGAUAUCAGAGGACGAUUCCCUAAUAUAACUGAGCCCUUGAAAAAUUCGCUUAACAUCAAGCACAGAGUGGCACACCAGAUUUGGGGUUAUGGUGAUCUUCCUCAGGCACCUCUAAGUCACAGAAAUUUAAAUGUGAGACCGAAAAAAAUUGCCUUUGAGACACCAAAGCUUUACAACCGUGGAAGGAAGAACUUCUCAAAGAACCUUCUCAAACAAUGUGAUUCUGAAAGUAAGGUUGGUGGAUCCUCCGAAGACUCAGAAAGUGAUCAAUACCGUGGUUAUGGUCAGGGAAGGCUGCUGUCGUUAUUUAACUGACUUGGAAGACGAAGCCACAAAGCUGGAGGCCUGGAGUUUGGGUGAUCGACAACUCUGAGAUUCAACUCUAAAGAAAGAAUUAUGAAUGGGAGAUGUACUACCUCAUAAUGAAGAACCUCAGACCAUCCAGACUUGGGAACAGGGGAAGGUUGAGGUCCCUCAAUCCCCAGAAGUUAUCACACUUCACUUACUCCAGGGCCUGCUUUCUGGGCAUUCACUUGCCUGUUUGAUGAACUGGAAUUAUUCACCAAAUAAAUCCCAUUCUGUGUGGGACUCUUGUACGUGAGGGAUGAUGUAAGAGGAUGUUGACUGGAGUAGCCUGCAUGUGUGAUUGACGGCUCCUUAGGACGUGGCCCGAGCCUACUCAGGCGACCCCCUGUAUCUCGUGAUUUUGCUCACCAGUUCGAAGCAGCGUCUGGGCAGGACUUCAGUUUUACACGCUCUGCCUCCUGGAGGCAUGAAACCCCUUCGGUGGCUUCAGUGACUGUCCCCUUUCUUCCCUCCUCGCCUUCUUACAUGCACAGCUUCUUGGGGUUCUCCUUUCCCCCACGGCCUGAAAAGCACUGGGAGGACCUGGUUUCUGUGUUCCAGCGACUAAUGAGACACACCUUCCCCUGCACACCAUUCACAUUGUCCACCAGGCUCCCCAUGGCCUUGGCGGAGCUGCAACAUGAGGCUUCUGACCUGGGCAAGGAGGUAAAACUGCUCACCAGAUCUUUUCUCCUUAUUCCCCUGUGACAAAAAUAUGGCUGUCAAACGGUCAGAUACAGUUUGUUGGUGGUCACCAAAUGAACGAUCAGCCAUAGACACUUUGUAAACAUGCCCUUGAGUCUUGACCUAGAAUAUAUUUAUGUAGCCUGACAGUACAAAGGGUGUCUAAGAUCUUGGAUCAGAAUUCAAAGGCCAGGUGACUGACUGAAAGAUGGCAGGGCCACAAAUGAAGAAACGAAAGGUCCCCUCUCUCAUGAGUGACUCUGUUUUCUGAUUGUUUCUCAGAGUCACUGGAAGCCCAUUUCAGGGGAAAUGAUGUCCAAACAGAUAAAUCGUUGGUUAUCCUAACCAGAGGGACCGUGUGAUAUAGCUAUGAAUUGUUAAGGAAAAAAAAAGUGUAUGUUCAAAAUGAGAAGCCACUCAAGCCUGUAGUCACAGCAAAAAUCAAACAAGUCUGACUCAUUUUAAUAUUUCCAACAAGUGCCAACCACCCCAAAACAAAAUCAUUGCUUGAACCCAAUAAGAAGAAAACAUUUCAAUCUCUAAAACAUAGUUAUUGAAUGCAAAAAUGGAGAAAAUAGUGUCUGAUUAGUGACUGGUCAUUUGCAAACUGGCUUCUCCUACAUUAUCUCAUUUUUUAAAAAGUAAAUUUGAUCACUUUAAAUGUUAGAGUGAAGUGGUUCACAAUCUCUUGAAAUAAGUAAAGGACAUUAUAUUUAUAAGCAUGCAAGUUGCGAACCAGGCCAAACAUUCUCAUCUGCUGCUUUAUAUAUUUUUAUCAAUCACCACAGACUCAUGGGGAAGGUCUCAAAUGGAUAGAGCUUUAAAAUGGAUUAAAAAAGAACUUUUUUUAAACUUAUCAGUGUGCUUUUCAUCUCCUCCUCUCCUCCCCCACCACUUUUGAAAUUUCUUUUUUGUCUCAGUUUGUCUGGUAUCUUCCCUUGAGUGGUG